GACCAACCCCCACCUCUCCAAACCUGAGAAUGAAACCCUAAUUUGUUUUUGAGUGUUUUGAGCUUGGAAGUGAUCUUUGAGAGGGUUUUUGGUGAUAUUGAAGGAAGAAGAGCUCUUGGAAGUUGCAUUGGUGUGGUUGAAGCUUGUGGAUCCAAAAUCAUCACCAACUUGGAAAGCUUUUGGAGGUAUAAAGGUCUUAACUUCAUGAUUCAUUUUGAUAGAUCUAGUUAGGGAUUGUUUUUCUGCUUUUUAUGGUCCUUUAAGUCAUACAUGAGAGUAUAAGCUACACUAAAAGCUAGGGAUGGUAUAUCUUAUCAUUUUUGAGGUCCCUUGUGCAUAAAAAUGCAAUCUUUUUUCGAUGUCAUCGCCAUUACCUCCAACAACAGUCAUUGUUCGAUUCAACUUCCUUCACUAGAACCAUCCUUGAUGUCGUCGUUACCCUACUCCUCCGUGACCACCAUCAACACUACACUGUCGCCACUCCUACAAUUUCGUCACCAACAUCCAUGGAAGACAGGACAACAUUCACAACCAUCGAGCAACCACCACCUGCUGCCUUCUCCCCGGUACUUUACCUUAUGGAAAUUAAAGUUUACACUUAAUUUUCUCUCUUGUUUGUCUCUUAAUUGUUGAUUUAGGGUUUUGGCUGUGGGGUCUUCAACCUUCUCUGUGUUUAUGUCUAAACAGAAACGUCUGGUGGAUGUGUAUCGAGAAAGCUUCAGAAGGAUAUUUGAAAAUCUAGGAGUAACAUAAAGGAAAUUGGGGUUAGUUUAUUCAUGGCUAUCAUAUAUCUUAUAUAGAGAUACUCCUACAUGGACAAUAAUGUUAUUGAUCCUUUUCUUUUUGUGAGCUUUCAAAUGGUGGUUACUGGAUGGAACAUAUGGUUUUUAUUUGCAGAGGAGGAACCAGAAACAGCUUGAAGAAGCACCCUCCUUGCAUUAACCCAAGAGCUAAUGAAAGCCAUUAGUGAUGCAGCGGUUGCUGCAGCAGCAUCAAUUGGGUACAUUGGUGUUGGUACUAUGGAGUUUCUUGAAAUUUAAGAAAGGGAUCAAUUUUACUUCAUGAAAAUGAACACUGGAAUCCAAGUUAGUUAAAAAAAAACUAACAAAUUAUAAACUCCAUUUUAUUAUAGAUAACUAUUGUGACCCUUUGGUUUUUUAAUAUUAAAAAAAGGUCGACAUCCAGUGACCAAAAUGAUAUCUUCAGUUGACUUAAUAGAGGAGCAAAUAUGUGUUGCUGUGGGUAAAAAACUAUGUAUGACACAGGUACUAAAUUAAUUUUUCUCAUCUUUUUAUGCAUCAAAAACAUUUAUUUUAUCUUGAAUUAUUAUAACAGGAUGAUAUUAUGCUUAAAGGACACUCGAUUGAAUGUCGUGUCAAUGCAGAAGAUGCUUUCAAAAAUUUCAGUCCAAAAAUGAAUUUUAUUAAUAUAAAAACAGUGUGCAGGGGCAAUAUGGUCCUAAAACUGUAAAAAUUGUUUUUUUAUUAUAAAAACAGUGUGCAGGGGCAAUAUGGUCCUAAAAUUUUAAAAAUUGAUUUUUUUAUUAUAUAAACAGUGUGCACAAUAUGGUCCUAAAAUUUUAUAAUUUGAUUUGUUUAUUAUAAAAACAGUGUGCGGGGCAAUAUGGUCCUAAAAUUGUAAAAAUUGAUUUUUUUUUGUUAUAAAAACAGUGUGCAGGGGCAAUAUGGUCCUAAAACUGUAAAAAUUUGUUUUUAUUUUUAUUAUAAAAACAGUGUGCAGGGGCAAUAUGGUCAUAAUGUGUGGAUUGCAGUGAUUUUUAAUAAGGUAAAUCUUGUGAUUUCGUUAGCAAUUGAAGAGGUGCAGCCAAUCUCUUACACCUGGAUAAAAAAAAAGAGGUUGAUGCAUUAGAGAAUAUUAGACCAGAAGUUGUAGAAGGUACACGUGAAGUGGAAAACAGCUUCCUUGGUGCCCGAGUUCUUCUUGAUUUACAUGAAUUGAAGUUUGGAGUUGUGACAUUGCAUUCAUUCCGAGAGGUAUAACAUAAAAUGAAGAACAAAGAGUUGUAGAUCAAGACAAAGCCCAAGUUCAUGUCCAUUAAUCAUUUUAGUGUGUGUUAUGAUGGAAUGGCAGAGAAUGGAAGAUUCCAUUAUGGUCCAAAAAGACUAUUUGGUUACCAAUACAAAAAACAAUACAUUCUAUAGUUAUAAUCAAUUUCAUUUUUUAUUUUCAUAACUAAUAUAUGCUAAAAUUAUAAUAAAUAACAAAUAUUCCAUGAUUUUAA